rnacentral:misc_RNA from 1 species
GAUGAAGAACGCAGCGAAAUGCGAUACGUAAUGUGAAUUGCAAAUUCAGUGAAUCAUCGAGUCUUUGAACGCACAUUGCGCCCCCUGGUAUUCCGGGGUGCAUGCCUGUCCGAGCGUCAUUGCUGCCCUCAAGCACGGCUUGUGUGUUGGGCCCCGUCCUCCGAUCCCGGGGGACGGGCCCGAAAGGCAGCGGCGGCACCGCGUCCGGUCCUCGAGCGUAUGGGGCUUUGUCACCCGCUCUGUAGGCCCGGCCGGCGCUUGCCGAUCAACCCAAAUUUUUUAUCCAGGUUGACCUCGGAUCAGGUAGGGAUACCCGCUGAACUUAAGCAUAUCAAUAAGCGGAGGA